UACGUAGGGUGCGAGCGUUGUCCGGAAUUACUGGGCGUAAAGAGCUCGUAGGCGGUCUGUCGCGUCGGUCGUGAAAACUUGGGGCUUAACCCUGAGCUUGCGGUCGAUACGGGCAUGACUGGAGUUCGGCAGGGGAGACUGGAAUUCCUGGUGUAGCGGUGAAAUGCGCAGAUAUCAGGAGAAACACCGGUGGCGAAGGCGGGUCUCUGGGCCGAUACUGACGCUGAGGAGCGAAAGCGUGGGGAGCGAACAGG
rnacentral:rRNA from 1 species